GACAGAGGGUGCAAACGUUGCUCGGAAUCACUGGGCGUAAAGGGCGUGUAGGCGGGUAGAUAAGUCGGGCGUGAAAUCCCUAGGCUCAACCUAGGAACUGCACUCGAAACUGUUUAUCUUGAGUGCCGGAGAGGAAAGCGGAAUUCCUGGUGUAGAGGUGAAAUUCGUAGAUAUUCGCAAGAACACCAGUGGCGAAGGCGGCUCACUGGCCCGGUACUGACGCUGAGGCACGAAAGCGUGGGGAGCAAACAGG
rnacentral:rRNA from 1 species